GCGUCCUUGGUGUAGCGGUAACACACCACUUUCAAAUUGUCCAGUGCUCAUGUGUUAAGGUGGAGCCCGGGGUUCGAGCCCCCGAGGACGCA